rnacentral:rRNA from 1 species
GACGAACGCUGGCGGCGUGCCUAACACAUGCAAGUCGAACGGAAAGGCCCUGCUUUUGUUCGGUGCUCGAGUGGCGAACGGGUGAGUAACACGUGAGUAACCUGCCCUUGACCUUGGGAUAACUUCAGGAAACUGUGGCUAAUACCGGAUAAGAGCUCCUGCUGCAUGGUGUUUGCUGGAAAGUUUCGGUGGCUUCGGAUGGACUCGCGGCUUCUCAGCUUGUUGGUGAUGUUGUGGCUUACCAAGGCUUUGACGGGUAGCCGGACUGAGAGUGUGACCGGGCACAUAGGGACAGAGGUAGGAGCAAUAGUGCUACGGGAGGCAGGAGUGGAGAAUAGUGCAAGAAAGGCGGAAGGAUGAUGGAGCGACGCCGGGUGCGGAAUGACUGUCUUCGGGGUAUAAACCGCGUGCGCGUGUAAAGAACAGUGAGUGACGGUAAUUGAUCAGGAAGCAACGGCUAACUACGUG